rnacentral:lncRNA from 1 species
GUGAGGAGAAGGAAGAGGCUGAAGGCUGGGCUUCUGGUGCCUCUGGGGUCCAGCCACAGCCCCCAGUGCCACCCAGGUCCACUAGUGCCAACAGCUCACUAUCUCCCCAGCAUGAUGACCAGCAGUCAGUGGUUUUACGUCGUCAUUCCUCCUCUGACCUUGCCCGUCAGAAGUUUGGCACUAUGCCCUUGCUGCCCAUCCGAGGAGAUGACAGUGGAGCCACCCUACUCUCUGCCAAUCAGACCCUGGUGAGACCCUAGCCCCAGCAUGUCCUCAGCUUCUGUUCCCUGUCCUUACCCUUGUCCUAUUGCAGGAGGAAACAGUAUGCCUGUAUGUCAGAUGCCCCACCCACUCACCACGACCCUCUUGUCCCUAGUCUCUGUGACCUCGCUUCCCACCAGCACCUCCUGUUGCCAGGUCUCACUUUGUCUCUGUCUCUCCCUCCCUUCAUCCCCACUCUACCCGGGUCCAGCGGCGACUGCACAACCGGAGAACCUUAUCCAUGUUCUUUCCAAUGAAAUCGUCUCAGGGGUCUGUGGAGGAGCAAGAUGAGCUGGAGGAGCCUGUGUAUGAAGAGCCAGUAUAUGAGGAGGUUGGGGCCUUCCCUGAGCUUACCAAGGACAUGACCUCCACAUGGGAGUGGUCGACCAAGUCAGACACACCCCUUACCAGCCAGAGGUCCUUUGAUCAAACCCCCCUCACCAAAGCAAGCAUGUUGGUCCAGGAGGAGAGGAUACCUGAGCCUCCUCCAGGACCCCCUUCAAAAAGCAGUCCUCAGGCACGAGGGUCCCUAGAGGAACAGCUGCUCCAGGAGCUCAACAACCUCAUCUUGAGGAAAGGAGAACCUGCCACGUGUCCAGAAAGUCCUUCCCAGCCCACCAGUCCUCAAUCCCCCAGCCCCACCAGCCUUCCAACACAGACACCCAGCUUACCCACCCAAAUCCCCUGCGCUUCCAAUCCACCCUCCAGCCAGCCCCUCACAUGACCCCAGGGCCAGCAGUUGAGGAGGAAGGUAACCAGAGGAGAAGCCAGGCUCUCACCGUGGCAGACAAUUGCUGGGAGCAUCUUCUGCCCUGGAUGGAUGACUCUGGGAUCCAGUAUGGUACCAUGGAAGGAGCACUGGACUGAGAACCCUGGAGAUUGUGUGUCUCAGGGAAGAUCAUGGCCCCUCUCUGGGCCCAGCCUAUUUGUCUAUACUAUGAAGUCACUAAAAUAAGGAGAGGGGUGAACACCGAACUGUUUCUGAGCUAGGAGCCCUGAUAUUUCCCUCAGUAGGAGCAGCUCCUGGUGUAUAUAUUUGAUAUAGGGGUUCAGUGAGAGGUUUGCGGCAUAAGAAUGGUUUUACUGCACUAGAGGAAAGUGAAAGUUGGGAAGCAUGAUACCCAAAUCUAUGUUAUUCUACUCCCUAUGUGCUAAAACUGCCUUGAGGCCCUGGAAUGGGGUGGCUGAUUGGUGUUGGGAGCUGGGGCCCAGAGGGAGUUGAAAAGCAAUAGGUCACUAUUAAUAAACUUUGGAACCGAAAGGCU